rfam:Acyrthosiphon pisum strain LSR1 Contig1000977, whole genome shotgun sequence.
AAAAAGGUCUUUUUCAAGACCACCAAAUAAAGACGAUUGGAAAAAU